ensembl:snRNA U6 U6 spliceosomal RNA
AUGCUUGCUUUGUCAGCAUGUAUACUAAAAUUGGAAUGAUACAGAGAAGAUUAGCAUGGCCCUUGCACAAGGAUUACAUGCAAAUUUGUGAAGCAUUCUAUAUUAAA